UAAGUCACGGCCCCGAACUUUCUGCACUCUUCCGCCAAGUUGAUCGCAGAGAUUCGGGGUUUGUCUUUU
rnacentral:antisense_RNA from 1 species